UAAUACCGCAUAACGUCGCAAGACCAAAGUGGGGGACCUUCGGGCCUCAUGCCAUCAGAUGAACCCAGAUGGGAUUAGCUAGUAGGUGGGGUAAUGGCUUACCUAGGCGACGAUCCCUAGCUGGUCUGAGAGGAUGACCAGCCACACUGGAACUGAGACACGGUCCAGACUCCUACGGGAGGCAGCAGUGGGGAAUAUUGCACAAUGGGCGCAAGCCUGAUGCAGCCAUGCCGCGUGUAUGAAGAAGGCCUUCGGGUUGUAAAGUACUUUCAGUAGGGAGGAAGGUGUGAGCGUUAAUAGCGUUCACAAUUGACGUUACCUACAGAAGAAGCACCGGCUAACUCCGUGCCAGCAGCCGCGGUAAUACGGAGGGUGCAAGCGUUAAUCGGAAUUACUGGGCGUAAAGCGCACGCAGGCGGUUUGUUAAGUUGGAUGUGAAAUCCCCGGGCUUAACCUGGGAACUGCAUCCAAGACUGGCAAGCUAGAGUCUCGUAGAGGGAGGUAGAAUUCCAGGUGUAGCGGUGAAAUGCGUAGAGAUCUGGAGGAAUACCGGUGGCGAAGGCGGCCUCCUGGACGAAGACUGACGCUCAGGUGCGAAAGCGUGGGGAGCAAACAGGAUUAGAU
rnacentral:rRNA from 1 species